GAAGACUUCCUUAUAUUCAUCAUAUUUCUCCUAUAGAACCUCAGUAUAGUCCAGCUAGGAAUCGAGCGGCAUCUUUGCAUACUAUUAAUUCUGAAGAUUCGCAUAUUACACCUAAAGGUGUAGAAAAGAUAAAAAUCAACUCAAAAACUAAUAUAGUUCAAGAUUUUGAUAAAGAAAAGCCUACUCCAUCUGAAAUGGAUUUUGACAUCAAUUCUGUUUAACCAUGAUGUCACAACUUAUUGAUUUUAGUCCUGGUUCUCAGGCAAGAAAAUAGAUUCAGAAAGAAUUUUUUUCUGAAAAAUGGAAAACCUUUAGAACAUGGUUUUUUGAAACUUAUACUUCAGGUGAAUUACGAAAUAUUUCAGAAGAAUUUUAUGAAAUGUGUGUCUUACAUAAUAAAAUUAUCUUUUUUGUACCAUGGUUUAUGUCUGCAUAUUUACUGUCAUAUGUCAAAAUAAUCGAAAGAUCUUAUCAAAAUUCUGAUGGAUCUAUUACUCAAGCACUCUAUCCUCCUCAGUCUUCUUUUAUAUUACCUAAUAAUACUGGCAUGACAUUUUCUGCUUUCUAAAAAUUUGUCAGUGAAGAUGUUGAAAAAAUUACUGUUUCUGAAAUAAAUAACCUUAUCGCCCAAAAUAAUUAUUUGAGUCUUUACGUUAAGGUUUAGGAGAACACAUUUCCUCUCUUGAUAAAAAACUUGACGAAUUAAUUGAGUUAGUUAACAAACUUAGCAUCCAGAUGAAUUCCUCUAAUAUUCCUUCUACUUCUAAAAUCACUGAUACCGACGGAUAUAUUUUAUCAAAACCUUGUAUUCAAAGACCUCCUGAAAUAGAAGGAUUUGAAAAGAUUUCGCACUUAGACCAAUUAGAGAAACUCUUAGAUAAAAAAUUCUCUCGUUUAAACAUUCAACCUCUUAAUAUUUCUGAUAUUUUGUACAAAAUCUUGAGUCUAAUUUUGCUGAGAAUAUUUAUUCUGCUGGAAAUCCUGGUGAUAUAAUCUCUUCCGAGCUUAAUAAGCUCAAAGGUAUGAUUAAAAAACAACCAAGAAAGAAAUACGCUGAUAUUCCCCGUAUGUCUACUGCAUAUUAUCCACGCCCAACUCCUCAAGAUGUUCUGAUAGAGGAAAGGGAAUGGAAUCAGACAAAUACUUCUUAUAGUGGAGAAGCCAUUUAUCAAUGGAAUAUUGAUGGAUUAUCUGACCGACAAAUCUCUAUUCUUAUUCAUAGAAUGUCCAUGUAUGCUACUAUUGCCAUAGCCACUACUUCGCCAGAAAAUAGGGCCAAUCGUAAUAACCAAACAAUUUGUAAAAUGAUCGUUGCAGGAUUUACUGGCCAACUUCGCAGCUGGUGGGAUAAUUUUCUUGAUGAUAAUAAACGAGAGGCUAUUUUUAACGCCACUAAUGAUCAACCCGGAAAAGACAAUAUAGGAUGACCUCUUCGGGCAGGACGUUUGGAUGCUGUCUAUACCCUUAUACUUACGAUUAUUGAACAUUUUGGCGGACGAUUUAGCAAUCAAUAUGAAAACAUUAGAACUCUUCUUAAUAGUUUAGAAUGUAGACACUUAGGUGAAUUUAGAUGGUAUAAAGACACCUUUCUUAGUAGGGUUAUGGAUUUACCCGAAAGUAAGUAUGACCAUUGGAAAGCUAAAUUCAUUGAUGGUCUUCCACCUUUAUUUGCUGAAAGAGUUAGAAAAACCCUUCGAGGAUCUUAUGGAGAAGUCUAGUAUUCAGAAAAAACUUAUGGUCAGCUUAUUGUAGCUUGUACACAAGAAGGCUUAGCCCUUUGCAACGAGUUGAAAUUUGCUAGACAGAUUAAGCUCAAUAAACUCAGAGAAAAAUCCCAAUUAGGAGACUUUUGUGAGCAAUUUGGUAUGGAUAAACCCUUCGUACGAACACCCCAAAGAUAUUCUAAGCCUAAUAAAUACUAUAGAAAUAAACGUUCUAGGCAUUGAACCAAGGAAGAACGGGAAACUACAAAAUCCUUUCGUAAUUCUACCAGAUUCAUGAAAAAUAGAUCGAAAAGAGAUUUAGCCAAAAUUCAAUGCUAUAAGUGUAACCAGUAUGGUCAUAUAGCUCCAAACUGCAAAUUACAAAAACUCAAGUCCUUAGGACUUUCUGAAGAAGUUCAUAACCAAGUCUAUAAUUUAUAAUAUACUUCUGCUUCCGAAUCGGAUUCUACUUCUGAAAAUGAUUUUGAAUUACCUAAUUCUGAUAGUGAACUCGAUCAGGAUAAUAAGUGUAAUGAUUGUGAUAAUGAUGUUUGCAAUUGUGAUGAAAUGAUGUAUAAACUGCAAGCGCAAUUCGAAGACCUUGAUUUAAAUGUUCAAACUCUUACUGCUGAAAACGUCCUUGAAUUACUAAAAAAGUUACUGAUGAAAAAUUGAGUGAAAAAAUUCUCAAAUUUGCUACUCAAAAAACUUCUGCAAAUAAUAGUAUUUCUAAAGAUAACUCUUUUGAUAAUCAUCAUAUGUCUUAUUCCUUAGUUGAAGUUAAUCGACGUCUUGCUUUGAAUAAAACCCCCGAUAGAGAUACUACCUUUAAUGAUUUAAAAAUCAAAGUUGAGCAAUUGAAAAAGAGAUUAUUUCCUUAAAACAAAACCAGAUGAUCUCCGAUCAUAGAAUUUUGAAAAUUGAAGAAAAGGUUAUUGAUUUUCCCGAAACCUCUUUUACCUCAAACGGAAAAGAUAAAGAUUUCGAAUACUCUAAAAAUUUUGAAAUUGAUAAAUUUAGUCCAGCAGAAGACUUGAAAAAGGAUUAUUUCCUCGGAAUGAUGCAAAUUGUUACUGCUAAUAAAUGGUAUAUAAACUGCACUAUUUUGAUAAAUAAGGAAUUUUCUGUUACCAAUAUUGUUAUGAUUGAUAGUGGUGCUGAUGUUAGUUGUAUUCAAGAAGGAUUAAUCCCAACCAGGUAUUUUGAAAAAACCACUCAUAUAGUAAAGUCUGCAUCUGGUCAUACUCUUGAUAUCAAUUAUAAAUUGCCAAAUACCCAUAUCUGCCGAGACAGAGUCUGCAUUCCACAUUUCUUCUUUUUAGUAAAAAAUCCGCUAUAUCCUCCUAUUAGUUUAGGAACACCUUUUAUAAAUGCCAUUUACCCGUAUACUCAUAUUGAUGCAAAUGGGUUUAAGGCUACUUACAAGGAUAAGCCAAUUUCUUAUCCUUUUGUUACUCAUCCUGUCNNNNNNNNNNNNNNNNNNNNNNNNNNNNNNNNNNNNNNNNNNNNNNNNNNNNNNNNNNNNNNNNNNNNNNNNNNNNNNNNNNNNNNNNNGAUACUUUAAAAUCAGUAAAGGUCCAAGAAAAAAUAAAAAUGAUUUCUAAUCAAUUGAUUCUGGAUAUUUGCGCGGAUCAUCCAAAUGCUUUUUGGAACCGAAAGAAGCAUAUUGUUUCUCUUCCUUAUGAAGAUGACUUUAGUGAAGAUAAGAUUCCUACAAAAUCCCGACCUUGUCAAAUGAAUACAGAAUUAGUAGAAUUCUGUAAAACAGAAAUUGAUAAUCUUCUUCAAAAGGGUCUUAUAAAACCCUCAAAAUCUCCUUGGUCUUGUACAGCUUUUUAUGUCAAUAAUGCUGCUGAAAAAGAACGAGGGAUACCUCGACUAGUUAUAAACUAUAAACCUCUGAAUAAAGUUUUAAAAUGGAUUCGAUACCCUAUACCGAAUAAAAGGGACUUACUUUCCAGAUUAUAUGAUGCUAAUAUAUUUUCUAAAUUUGAUUUAAAAUCUGGAUAUUGGCAAAUUCAAAUUGAUAAACAUCAUAGUUAUAGAACUGCUUUUAAUGUUCCUUUCGGACAGUAUGAAUGGAAUGUCAUGCCAUUUGGUUUGAAAAAUGCUCCUUCCGAAUUUCAAAAGAUUAUGAAUGAUAUUUUUAACCCCUAUAUGGACUUUAUCAUUAUCUAUAUUGAUGAUAUCUUAGUAUUUUCAAAAACCCUCGAAUCUCAUUUUAAACAUUUACAGACGUUUAAACAAAUAAUUAUUCAAAACGGUUUAGUUAUCUCUAAACCUAAGAUAAGUUUAUUUCAAACAAACAUUAGAUUUUUAGGACAUAAUAUUUCUCAAGGUUCUAUUGAACCUAUACAACGAGUUCUAGAAUUCGCUAAAAAAUUCCCUGAUGUUAUUACUGAUAAAAAACAGCUUCAAAGAUUCCUCGGUAGUCUUAACUAUAUUUCCCCUUUUUACAAGAAUUUGUCUAGAGACUUAGCCCCUUUAUAUGAUAGACUAAAAAAGGAUCAUAAGACUCCUUGGACUCAAGCACACACUGAUUUAGUAAAAUUAAUAAAAAAUAGAGUUCAAACCCUUCCUUGUACUUCUCUUGCAAACCCUAACUGGUUAAAAAUUGUUGAAACUGACGCUUCAAAUAUCGGCUAUGGCGGAAUACUUAAACAAGUUAAUCCCCAUACAAAGACGGAAUGUUUGAUUCGAUUUUAUUCUGGUAAAUGGACAGAAAGUCAGAAAAAAUACGCCACGGUAGCUCAUGAAAUGCUAACUAUUGUUAAAUGUGUUUUAAAAUUCCAGGAUGAUUUGUAUAACCAAAAAUUUAUAAUUCGUACUGAUGCUCAAUCAGUUAAAUUUAUGUUUAAUAAAGACUUCAAACAUGAUGCUUCUAAAUUAAUAUUUGCACGGUGGCAAGCUCAAUUAGCCCCGUUUGAUUAUGAAAUACAGUAUAAAAGGGGUAGUGAAAAUUCUCUGCCUGAUUUUUUAUCUAGAGAAUAUCUUUUAUGAGUUUUUACACAUAUUUCCUCUCUGAAAAAAUUAUAAUAACUAUUAUCAAAUGCAUUCCUUUGAAUGAAGAUAUUCAUUUUCUGAUCUUAGAAACUCUAAUUCAUCGUUUAAUAGCAGAAGAAUUUGAAAAUCACAAUGAAUUCAUUGACAACGAAAUCUAUUGGUUUGACAUUGACUUAAGUGAUUAAUGUUUACAGAUAUCAUGAAACUCUUUCUACACUUCUUCUCUGAAAAGUUCUUACUCACCUUUAUAAAGGCAGUUCCUCUGAAUAUGGAUUUACACAUGCUCAUAUUACGGAAAGUUAUUGACGAUCUUAUUACAAAAGAUACAUUUUAUGAAGAUCUCGUCGAAUAUAUGUCAUGGUAUGCUGAUCCAACUCCUGAUCCAAUUUUUGAAAUAAUGCAGUAUGGAUCCUCCUUGGCAAAUCGCCAAAGGUAGAGGUCGAGGUGGAAGGAAUCAACAUUCUUCAUAUCGAGGUGGAAGAACAAACCCUUCAUAUUUUGACCGACAAAAUUCUGCAUAUAGCAUGAAUCAUCCUCAUCAAAAACUCCGAAUAUUGGUUCUUCUGUACAUUUAGAAGAUAUCCCUGAAACUCAUCCAUUAUUCAAACAAUUACAAUCUUAUUUAUCUGAUCAACAAAAAACUACAGAAUCUUUUGCAUUUAUGGUUCAAAAAAACACUGAAGAUAAGCCUUCAUAUGAAAAGCUAGAGGCUAGAGAACUUAUUUUACAUAUUGAAAAUCAGCAUAUUCCUGCACAAAACAAUUCGGAAGAAGCCUGGCGAAUACUCAAGAACUAUCUUACUGCUAAUGUCUAUUUUACUGGAGAAUCUUACAAAACUCGAACUUAUUAUGAACACAUACUCGUACAGACAUUCAGUGCCACCUUUGACCACAGCCCCCUCGGCGAAACUACCCCGGGAGUACAUGGAUAUUCCAAGAUGGUAAUUAAAAAACUUAUUCCUAUUGAAGAAUGGGGCAUUUCGUCAAUGACACAACGAUCUAUACCAAUGGGGCCGAUGGGUCAAACUCUUGCCAAUUUUACUUAUUGGGAUUACAUCAAAGCCUUUACUCAAGUAUUAUAUUAUAAUAAUUACAAGCACAAAAACACCUGGUUCAUAAAGAUCUAUUCUAAAGUAUUUGAAAAACCCAUUCUAAACUGGUUCGUUCAGUGGUGGACUCAUCACGGACCUACGGUUAAAAUAUUACCACCAGAAUAUUCCUCUUUAUACUACUCAUGGAAAAAAUCCUCCCCUUUUUUAACAGAACUAUAUCUUUCUGAUCACAUUUGUAAAAUUGAUACUAUUGAUCAAAUUUAUUUUUAUAUCGAAUUUUCUAUUCCUUAGAUUCAUCGGUGGUCUGUGGAAAUCGGCUCUGACACUUACCAAAUUCCUGCUCUAUACCGAACCUUUUAUUGUAAUUUUUGGGAUAAAAUGCUUCGAAGAGAUCCAGAAACAAAGCUCGCUUACGGUCAUGAUCAACAGGAGGAAAUAAUACAGAAGAUUGCUGAAUAUGAAAAAACCCCCAAAAAUUCGAUUUUAGUUGAAGACAAAAAUCUUAACUAUGUUUCCAGACGAAUUUCUGCCCAUGAAGGAAAUAAAAUGCAAUUGAUAGAAGAAUAUUUAUCCGAAGUUCGAGAUAAAUUACUUCAAACUGUUGAGCAAAAUUCGGAUGCCUCAAUGAAUAGCACAGACUCAAACACAGAAGAUAUUACUGAUUCACAACCACUCUGAUAGAAGAAGAAGAGAUUGAAAAAGCCGAAGCCUUCAUCAAAAAAUGGAAAGGAAAAGACAAGCCAUAAAAACAUGACAUGACUAUUUGAUAAAAAUCUUUGUUGUAAUAGUAAAAACACUAUGCACAGGGCCCCAUAUAUUACUGUGCAAGAUUCCCUUUUCUAUUAUUUAUGGGCGCCUCAUUCUCAGAUAGAGGCAUCAAGUUUUUUUUAACCCUCACUCCUCUCUCUCUAAUAGCUCUCUUUGUAAUAUAAUAUGAUUAAAUAAACAAGAAGUUACUACUAUUUUCAUCUGGUGUCCAGAUAGUCAGGUACAUAUAUUUUUACUUAUUGUAGUCCUUCAAUUAGAACUUCUACCAUAAUCUGGCUGUGACUAUGUCCGGCUGAACGAUAUCUUAUAUCUAUGUUGAAGAUGUAACUUCGCUGACUUGUUAACUAUGAAAGCUUCAGACUCUAUCAAAAUAUAAAAGAAUCUUUUUAAUUUCUUGACUUGGUUCCAAAAUAGAGGUACAGUCGAGUUCGAUACACUUAUGUUAACCUUGUCUCUGUGACGCCGUCUAAGAAGUUGUGCCUCCCUAGCCCGUAUUGUUGCGAAAAGGGCGAAUUUUCGCACAAUUAGAACUUCUAGACACACAGGUUCAACAUAAGGUUAUUAAAUCUCUGACAGGCCCCAUGUUUGGGUAAAAGAAUCGUCCAUACAGUCAUAAAACUAAUUAAGAUUCUUUUCUAUUUCAGUUGGUGCUUUGGUUCGGUCUUCCGACUUAGGCUUAAUCAGAUAUUAUUAUAUGGUCUGGUAGGCUGAGCAGCAUACCCCAGUAUAUAGAAAUUCUGAUGGACGCAUUUGUCUACAAUUUGAUAGCAAUCCCCCAGUAUAUAGAAAUUCUUUCUCAAUACCACGAAGACUUCCUUCUAUUCAUCAUAUUUCUCCUAUAGAAACUCAGUAUGGUCCAGCUAGGAAUCGAGUAGCAUCUUUGCAUACUAUUCAUUCUUAAGAUUCGCAUAUUACACCUAAAGGUGUAGAAAAGAUAAAAAUCAACUCCAAAACUAAUAUAGUUCAAGAUUUUGAUAAUGAAAAUCCUACUCCAUCUGAAAUGGAUUUUGACAUCAAUUCUGUUUAACCAUGAUGACACAACUUAUUGAUUUUAGUCCUGGUUCUCAGGCAAGAAAAUAUAUUCAGAAAGAAUUUUUUUCUGAAAAAUGGAAAACCUUUAGAACAUGGUUUUUUGAAACUUAUACUUCAGAUGAAUUACGAAAUAUUUCAGAAGAAUUUUAUGAAAUGUGUGUCUUACAUAAUAAAAUUAUCUUUUUUGUACCAUGGUUUAUGUCUGCAUAUUUACCGUCCUAUGUCAAAAUAAUAGAAAGAUCUUAUCAAAAUUCGGAUGGUACGAUUACUCAAGCUCUUUAUCCUCCC
rnacentral:lncRNA from 1 species